CCUACGGGUGGCAGCAGUCGGGAAUAUUGCGCAAUGGAGGAAACUCUUACGCAGUGACGCCGCGUGCAGGAAGAAGGUUUUCGGAUGGUAAACUGCUUUAGACAUGGAAGAUACAAGACAGUAUCAGUAAAAGAAGCUCCGGCUAACUACGUGCCAGCAGCCGCGGUAAAACUUAGGGAGCAAGCGUUAUACGGAUUUAUUUGGUGUAAAUGGUGCGUAGACGGGAAGGCAAAUUGGUUGUGAAACCCCUCGGCUUAACUGAGGAACUGCAACCAAAACUAUGUUGCUUGAGUGCUUGAGAGGACAGUGGAAUUCCUAGUGUAGCGGUGAAAUGCGUAGAUAUUAGGAGGAACACCAGUGGCGAAGGCGACUUUCUGGACAGUAACUGACGUUGAGGCACGAAAGUGUGGGGCGCAAACAGGAUUAGAUACCCUUGUAGUC
rnacentral:rRNA from 1 species